rnacentral:rRNA from 1 species
AGUGCAACAGAGGUAGGCGGAAUUCGUGGUGUAGCGGUGAAAUGCUUAGAUAUCACGAAGAACUCCGAUUGCGAAGGCAGCUUACUGGAUUGUAACUGACGCUGAUGCUCGAAAGUGUGGGUAUCAAACAGGAUUAGAUACCCUGGUAGUCCACACAGUAAACGAUGAAUACUCGCUGUUGGCGAUAUACAGUCAGCGGCCAAGCGAAAGCAUUAAGUAUUCCACCUGGGGAGUACGCCGGCAACGGUGAAACUCAAAGGAAUUGACGGGGGCCCGCACAAGCGGAGGAACAUGUGGUUUAAUUCGAUGAUACGCGAGGAACCUUACCCGGGCUUAAAUUGCAACUGACGGAACCGGAAACGGUUCUUUCUUCGGACAGUUGUGAAGGUGCUGCAUGGUUGUCGUCAGCUCGUGCCGUGAGGUGUCGGCUUAAGUGCCAUAACGAGCGCAACCCUUACGGGUAGUUACCAUCAGGUUAUGCUGGGGACUCUACCCGGACUGCCGUCGUAAGAUGUGAGGAAGGUGGGGAUGACGUCAAAUCAGCACGGCCCUUACGUCCGGGGCUACACACGUGUUACAAUGGGGGGUACAGAAGGCAGCUACACGGCGACGUGGUGCUAAUCCCAAAAGCCUCUCUCAGUUCGGAUUGGAGUCUGCAACCCGACUCCAUGAAGCUGGAUUUGCUAGUAAUCGCGCAUCAGCCACGGCGCGGUGAAUACGUUCCCGGGCCUUGUACACACCGCCCGUCAAGCCAUGAAAGCCGGGGGUACUAAAGGUACGUAACCGCGAGGAGCGUCCUAGGGUAAAAC